AAUGGACGAGACAAAGGGUUGCGAUCCCGCGAGGGUGAGCUAACUCCAAAAACCCGUCCUCAGUUUGGAUUGCAGGCUGCAACUCACCUGCAUGAAG
rfam:Gossypium hirsutum cultivar TM-1 chromosome 9, whole genome shotgun sequence